ensembl:lncRNA
UGCACAGUCAAUAAGAGAUCAGCCAGAGGCCUGCAAUACCUAUGAGACCUUGCUACAUGAGCACAGCAGAGAUACUGCCAAGCAGACUUUUGAAGCAUAACCGUAGCCCAUAAUUGGAUACAUCUAGAAGAUCCUGAUCAUUGGCCCAAACUCAGGCAUUGGGGAAUUUCAACCAGAGUACUUCCUGGAUACGCCAGGGACAAGUUUUUGCUGGAGUAUCUAUUCUACACUGCACAGUACAUGGCAAGCACUUAGGAUGAAUGGCCUUUUGAAUCUACUGCAUGUGCAAGCUGGGUUAGAGUAUUGCAAAGGCUCCUUCCCUCUGUGCAGAGCCCAAACGCAGAAAUGCAU